rnacentral:lncRNA from 1 species
CCGGCUAGAUCACCUAGGUGCUUUAUGUUCUGACCUUGGUUGACCUAUAGUCAUAAUACAGUCACGUUAUAAAAAAAAAAAGAGAGAGAAAUAAUACAGUUUGUCUUCACUAAGUAACCGGGCUUCUUGCCUACAAAGCAGCGAGUGUUCGCGUAAAAAGAUGAAAAUGACUGAAAUAAGUGACUAGUCUGGCCUCAUGGCGUAGUCUGGUUCGAAUAAUUAAGUUCGAGGGGUGUUUCACCUAAUGCCUUGAGCCAACUGGAUCAAGAGUCAUUGACCUAAAGCUCGUUACAUGGACCUUACUAGAGCCUAAUGGAGUUGGACUGUUGUAGUCAUUUUGAUUUUAUUAAAAAUAUAUAUAUAUAUAUUAAACAUGAGUGGGUUAGUUAAACUAAAACCAAGUGACAUGUGGAUGACUGGUUUGACUCCAUUGUUUUAGAACUCUGUGUACCUGGGAUGUCUAGUUGGGAUUGAUAGCUUCAUUUUUAUAUGCAAACCAUUCUGGACAAAUAACAUGUGAUAUUCGGAAAAUUUAGUGGGUCGGGAGCUAACAAAUGAUAGUUAACACUUGUGAAUUUGAGUAGUACACCUAGAACUCAAGGGGUACCCAAUUGUGGUGGAGGUAUAGAUAUUCUGAGACGUCACAUUUACAUUUGCCUUAAGGGUU